rnacentral:rRNA from 1 species
AACGAACGCUGGCGGCAUGCCUAGCACAUGCAAGUCGAACGAGACCUUCGGGUCUAGUGGCGCACGGGUGCGUAACGCGUGGGAACCUGCCCUUAGGUUCGGAAUAACUCCCCGAAAGGGGUGCUAAUACCGGAUAAUGUCUUCGGACCAAAGAUUUAUCGCCUUUGGAUGGGGCCGCGUUGGAUUAGCUAGUUGGUAGGGUAAAAGCCUACCAAGGCGACGAUCCAUAGCUGGUCUGAGAGGAUGAUCAGCCACACUGGGACUGAGACACGGCCCAGACUCCUACGGGAGGCAGCAGUGGGGAAUAUUGGACAAUGGGCGAAAGCCUGAUCCAGCAAUGCCGCGUGAGUGAUGAAGGCCUUAGGGUUGUAAAGCUCUUUUACCCGGGAUGAUAAUGACAGUACCGGGAGAAUAAGCUCCGGCUAACUCCGUG